rnacentral:lncRNA from 1 species
AACCAGAUGCUCCGCAGGGUGCAGCUUUAUACGACCGCAGAGGUUGAACCCUGAUCGGUUGGGGCAAGUAUGGACACAACAUUCAAGCUGGAUUCAGCUCUAAAUUUGGAUUGUGAUUAAAUAGUUGACACAGCAUAGGUUUCUGACACAGAAUGAAUGUGGUCUAAUGAACUUAAAAUAUUUUUUUUGCCUUAGAGCAAUUCACUAUGCUGUUGAAUAUUAAUCCUCUCAAAAAAAUGUUUGAAGAAAUUUUUUCUUUUAUUUAUGAAAUCUGAAAUGAGAAAAAAUUUAACCCCCCCCCCCCCCCUUUUUUUCACUUCCCCCUUUCCCUUUUUCCAAAACUGAUCUCAAUUCAAAUUUCUAAUGGAGUUUGCAACAAUAACUAC